UGGACAUCCGUGUGAGAGUGGCUAAUUAACCUCUAACCCUAAAAUCUUAAAUGCUUUCAGCCUCUCUUUUUCUUUCUCUCUCAUAAAAUCCCUGAUCUUGUUGGCUCAGCUCCCAUAUCUCACACAACCUCCAUCAUUAAAGAGCAUAGAAGCCCAGAAGGGUGAUACUUUCCCACACAAAUUCAGAUCGGUUCCAGAAAUUCUAUCAAGACUUACCAGAAACCCAAGACAACGACAUGAACAAGAUCCAGAUGUGUAAUGGAGUAGAUUCAUCAAUACAUCAUCAAGAGGCAAAGAGGCACGACAUCAUUUUCGUGUAUAGCUUUUUUUCUUCCAAGAAUCAAAUUUUGUAGAGGGAAUAAUUUGUUUGAGAGAUUUGUAAUGAAGUAAAUUCACCAAUAUAAGUUUGAGAUUUGAUUUCUACCAAAAAUCUAAUAAUGAGAAUGAGAUCUAGUGAUUUCAUUAUGUGGA